rnacentral:rRNA from 1 species
GGUGAGUAAUGUCUGGGAAACUGCCUGAUGGAGGGGGAUAACUACUGGAAACGGUAGCUAAUACCGCAUAACGUCGCAAGACCAAAGAGGGGGACCUUCGGGCCUCUUGCCAUCGGAUGUGCCCAGAUGGGAUUAGCUAGUAGGUGGGGUAACGGCUCACCUAGGCGACGAUCCCUAGCUGGUCUGAGAGGAUGACCAGCCACACUGGAACUGAGACACGGUCCAGACUCCUACGGGAGGCAGCAGUGGGGAAUAUUGCACAAUGGGCGCAAGCCUGAUGCAGCCAUGCCGCGUGUAUGAAGAAGGCCUUCGGGUUGUAAAGUACUUUCAGCGGGGAGGAAGGGAGUAAAGUUAAUACCUUUGCUCAUUGACGUUACCCGCAGAAGAAGCACCGGCUAACUCCGUGCCAGCAGCCGCGGUAAUACGGAGGGUGCAAGCGUUAAUCGGAAUUACUGGGCGUAAAGCGCACGCAGGCGGUUUGUUAAGUCAGAU